UGUCGGCGUUCCGGUCCUCACCAUCUCUUGACCAUCGCCCACACCGGCUGACCUUUCUUUCUAACCUGCCAGCACCGUACAGCGGGUCCCACCUUCAGACUCAGCAUUUCUGACCCGGAAAUGCCAACAGGACUCACUGGCAUCGCCAGGGGCUGCGGUGGCCGGACGCUCUGAGCCUGUGGCCAGGACCGUUCCGUCGGAGGACCAGAGAUGGGCAGCCCCUCCACCGACUGAGAUGAAGAAACUGAGGCUCAGAGAGGUUAAGGAGCUCCCCCGAGG